rnacentral:rRNA from 1 species
UACGGGGGGGGCAAGCGUUGUUCGGAAUUACUGGGCUUAAAGGGUUUGUAGGUGGCUUGUUAAGUCAGACGUGAAAUCCCUCAGCUUAACUGGGGAACUGCGUCUGAUACUGGAUGGCUUGGAUUUGGGAGAGGGAUGCGGAAUUCCAGGUGUAGCGGUGAAAUGCGUAGAUAUCUGGAGGAACACCGGUGGCGAAGGCGGCAUCCUGGACCAAUAUUGACGCUGAGGAGCGAAAGCCAGGGGAGCAAACGGG